rnacentral:rRNA from 1 species
CCCGGGCGACCGGCGCACGGGUGAGUAACACGUAUGAAACCUGCCCGUAGCAGGGGGAUAAGCGGAAGAAAUUCCGUCUAAUACCGCGUAACAACCCAUGGAGGCAUCUCUGUGGGUUUAAAGGAAGCGAUUCCGGCUACGGAUGGUCAUGCGUCGCAUUAGCCUGUUGGCGGGGUAACGGCCCACCAAGGCGACGAUGCGUAGGGGUUCUGAGAGGAAGGUCCCCCACACUGGUACUGAGACACGGACCAGACUCCUACGGAAGGCAGCAG